UUACAAGAGAGAGAUAGAUAGAUAGAUAGAUAGAUAGAUAGAUAGAUAAAUAGAUACUUUAUUGAUCCCCAGGGAAAAUUCAAGAACAACAAACCAAAAACGAGUGUUACUGUUAUGUAAGGGAUAAUGUAUAGAACGCCGGUCAUUAUUGGGAAAAUAAGUCCUGAUAGGGCGAACCG